AAAAAAAUAUAUCCAUCUGUGUUUUAAAGAGGGGACUAUACCUGCAUACUCGUGUGGCUUCCAUGUUCUUGAUUUAAGUUUCAGAGUAGGCAUCCUGGAUUUUCCCAGGAUGCUCUACUGUUAAAAUAGUGCCAUUCAUUUUCUAGGUGGGACCAUAUUCUACACUCUGACAUCUUGUUGGGUUUGGCCUAGAGCAUCAGGCCUUCGGGAAACAGAACAUCCUCCCCUGUGCCAACUUCCCUUCUCCUCUCCCAAAGAGCUUCCUGUGUGCUGGGCUUUAGGUUGAGGAAGGGGCUGAAGGGAGGGGGCUGUGCUGCUGUGCUUUGUGAAAUCAGUUUGUGGCUGACAACAGCCCUUAGCUUCUGUCUUGCUCCUGGUCUGGGUGGGAUUCCAGAGUAUUUUGUUGGACGAUCUAUGGGCUGUUGCUCUACUUUGAGCCUCUCACUCAUUGCCUGCACCAAUUGGAAACCCAUCCAGGGAGCAGAGCGCCAAAGCCAAGAGAAGCCCUCGUUCCCUGUCUGGUGACUGAGUGAUGGGGCUCAUGGGCAGAGUCCUCCCAUCUCAGGCAGUUCUAGACAAAAUGUAGUGUUUGCACUCCACUGUGAGUAAUGUCUGGGCUGACCCAUUCUAACGUUUGUCUCAGGAUCCAUACUACUUGCCUUGCUUUUACAGUUUCGGAGCCUUUCACAUUUGGUACUGGCAGUCAGUGAGUUUUAAUGAUGACCAUAUAUGGGGUGUGACUUUAUAAAGCAAGGAAACAAGAAAAGUAGUUUUAAUGUAAAUAAUUUUUCUACCUUGCUUUUCUCUCCAUACUUAAAUGGUCAGUAGCUACUGAGGGGUGCCUCAUCUCAGCAGCCUUGGCUUGAAACAAAGUAGAAAAUGGGACUGGCUUCCAGCAGGAAGUGAGGUUCUUCAGAGUCUGUGGCUCCCCUGCCCGGCGCCUGUGGCUCGUCUGGAUUAGCCCUGUCGGCAGCAGACCCUCUCAUGUUGUCCUUUAAAGAUUGAACUGAGUGUCUUCAAUAGAAGCCGUCUGAGGCAAGGAAGAGUGAGUGGGAGUAAGGAAUGGAAACCAAAGUCAGGAGAAUAUUUUUUUUUCAUUCUGUUUGCUUAAUUCAUGGUUCAUUAUUUGGGUACAAUUUGUACCAUUUCAGAUUUGUACUCCAGACAAAAAUAUAGUAACUUGAAAUAUUGUGUUUAAAGAAAUUCUAGUGUUCUAUCAUCAUUAAAUUAUUUACCUAA
rnacentral:lncRNA from 1 species